rnacentral:rRNA from 1 species
CAGUCGAACGCCCCGCAAGGGGAGUGGCGGACGGGUGAGUAACGCGUGGGAAUUUUCCUCAAGGUACGGAACAACUCAGGGAAACCUGGGCUAAUACCGUAUGAUGCAGCGAUGCCAAAGAUUUAUCGCCUUGGGAUAAGCCCGCGUCAGAUUAGGUAGUUGGUGGGGUAACGGCCUACCAAGCCUGCGAUCUGUAGCUGGUCUGAGAGGACGAUCAGCCACAUUGGGACUGAGACACGGCCCAAACUCCUACGGGAGGCAGCAGUGGGGAAUCUUGCGCAAUGGGCGAAAGCCUGACGCAGCCAUGCCGCGUGAAUGAUGAAGGUCUUAGGAUUGUAAAGUUCUUUAGCCUGUGACGAUGAUGACGGUAACAGGAGAAUAAGCCCCGGCUAACUUCGUGCCAGCAGCCGCGGUAAUACGAAGGGGGCUAGCGUUGUUCGGAAUUACUGGGCGUAAAGCGCGCGUAGGCGGUUUUACAAGCCAGAGGUGAAAUGCCUGAGCUUAACUUGGGAAUUGCCUUUGGAACUGUAUGACUUCGAGGACGAGAGAGGUGAGUGGAAUUCCCAGUGUAGAGGUGAAAUUCGUAGAUAUUGGGAAGAACACCGGUGGCGAAGGCGGCUCACUGGCUCGUUUCUGACGCUGCAGCGCGAAAGCGUGGGGAUCAAACAGGAUUAGAUACCCUGGUAGUCCACGCUGUAAACGAUGAGUGCUAGGCGUCGGCACGCUUGCGUGUCGGUGCCGCAGCUAACGCGUGAAGCACUCCGCCUGGGGAGUACGGUCGCAAGAUUAAAACUCAAAGGAAUUGACGG